AGGGGUAUAGUUCAGUUGGUAGAACGUUGGUCUCCAAAACCAAAUGUCGAGGGUUCAAGUCCUUCUGCCCCUG
rnacentral:tRNA from 5 species